AAUAGGAACGUGGCCGAUAGUGAAAAAUAACUGAAUAAGUAAUAGGCGGAGCUAUAAAUAAACAGAGAACACCUGGAAGAGGGGUCUUUUUCCCCUGUGAACAAGAAGACCAAUUUUCAUUUCCAUCGCAUUUUACUACUUUCUAGUAGUCUAUUUGUAACCCUUUUUACUUUCCCUACAUUUGCUGCAUUUUCUAGGAAUAGUCUGUAGAUUAGAUUUUUUUACUCUAA
rnacentral:lncRNA from 1 species